UACGUAGGGUGCAAGCGUUAAUCGGAAUUACUGGGCGUAAAGCGUGCGUAGGCGGUUCGUUAAGUCUGCUGUGAAAGCCCUGGGCUCAACCUGGGAACUGCAGUGGAUACUGGCGGACUAGAGUGUGAUAGAGGAUGGUGGAAUUCCCGGUGUAGCGGUGAAAUGCGUAGAGAUCGGGAGGAACACCAGUGGCGAAGGCGGCCAUCUGGAUCAACACUGACGCUGAGGCACGAAAGCGUGGGGAGCAAACAGG
rnacentral:rRNA from 1 species